GUUAAGGUGGCAGAGCCCGGUAAUUGCGUNAGACUUAAGCCUUUAUACUCAGAGAUUCAAAUUCUCUCCUUAACA
rnacentral:tRNA from 1 species